AUUGAACGCUGGCGGCAGGCCUAACACAUGCAAGUCGAGCGGAUGAAGGGAGCUUGCUCCUGGAUUCAGCGGCGGACAGGUGAGUAAUGCCUAGGAAUCUGCCUGGUAGUGGGGGCUAACGUCCGUAAACGGGCGCUAAUACCGCAUACGUCCUGAGGGCGAAAGUGGGGGUUCUUCGGACCUCACGCUUUCUGAUGUGCCUAGGUCGGAUUAGCUAGUUGGUGGGGUAAAGGCCUACCAAGGCGACGAUCCGUAACUGGUCUGAGAGGAUGAUCAGUCACACUGGAACUGAGACACGGUCCAGACUCCUACGGGAGGCAGCAGUGGGGAAUAUUGGACAAAGGGCGAAAGCGUGAUCCAGCAAAGCCGCGUGUGUGAAGAAGGACUUCGGAUUGGAAAGCACUUUAAGUUGGGAGGAAGGGAAGUAAGAUAAUAACUUGCUGUAUUGACGUUACCAACAGAAUAAGCACCGGCUAACUUCGUG
rnacentral:rRNA from 1 species